GACGAACGCUGGCGGCGUGCUUAACACAUGCAAGUCGAACGGUAAGGCCCUUCGGGGUACACGAGUGGCGAACGGGUGAGUAACCCGUGGGUGAUCUGCCCUGCACUUCGGGAUAAGCAUGGGAAACUGGGUCUAAUACCGGAUAGGACCCCUGCCUGCAUGGGCGGGGGUGGAAAGCUUUUGGGGUGGUGGAUGGGGCCGCGUCCCUAUCAGCGUGUGGGUGGGAUGAUGGGCUACCAAGGCGACGACGGGUAGCCGGCCUGAAAGGGUGACCGCCGACACUGUGACUGGGAUAACGCCCAGCCUCCUUGGGGAGGCAUAAGUGGGGAUUAUUGAACGAUGCUUGCAAGCCUGCUGCAGCGACGCCGCGUCAGGGAUGCCGGGCUUCGGGUGGUAAUACUCUUUGCGCUCUGCCGAAGCGAAAGUGAGGGUAGUAGCAGCAGAAGGACCGGCCAACUACGUGUCAGCCGCCGCCGGAA
rnacentral:rRNA from 1 species